UGGACGUUAAAAAGGCCCCGCGGCGCUCCUUCGCGGGGGUUUAGUCGCGCGGUCAAGGGGAAAGGACCGAAAAAGACCCCCGCGCGGAGGAUCCGCCCCCCUCCGCGCGCGACGAAGGUAGAGAGGGGACGCCUCCCGAAGGCGUCCGUCGGUCUAAAGAAUCCGUCACCCGUUUGAUCCUGACGGUAGUCGUAUGCUCGUCUCCGAGACUAAGCCAUGCAAGUCCAAGUACACGUCCUUGAACGACGGAAACUGCGAACGGCUCAUUAAAUCAGUUGCGAUCUACUCGGCGUUCCGCGCCGCCGGAUAACCGUAGUAAUUCUAGGGCUAAUACGUGCGAAGCGCCCGAAGCCGCGAGGCGACGGGCGUUCUCGCCGGAUGUAGGAACCGACCCGGGGACCGCCGGGGCAACCCGGCGCCCCCGAGACGGGGCGAACCACGGUGAAAUGACGGAUCGUCGGCCCCGCGCCGGCGACGUCGCCGAAUGAGUUUCUGACCUAUCAACUCGAGACGGCGGGGUAGAGGCCCGCCGCGGUAACGGACGGGUAACGGGGAAUCAGGGUUCGAUUCCGGAGAGGGA
rnacentral:rRNA from 1 species